rnacentral:lncRNA from 1 species
GUUUUCUUAUACUGUCUUUAUCUGGUUUUGGUAUUAACAGUUAUGCUGGCUUCAUAGGAUGAGUUAGGAAGUUCAGUAAGAGAUUGAUUCAGUAAGAUCUUCUAACUUCUGUAAGAGAUUGUAGAGAAUCAGUAUAAUUUAUUCCUUAAAUGUUUGGUAUUAUUAUCCACUGAUCCCUUCUGGACCUAAUGUUUUCUGUUUUGGAGAAUUAUUAUUAACUCAAUUUCUUCAUUUCUGCUAUAGUGUUUUCGCAUUUCUUUUUUCUUCUUUCAUACAAUGUCCAUUUCUCUGCUUAUAUUAUCCAUCUGAUUUUACAUGUUGUUCAUCUUUCCAUUAAAGCCUUUAGCAUAUUAAUAGGUUUUCUUAAAUUCCUGGUCUGAUAAUUCCAACAUUCCUGCCAUCUCUUACAUUAGGAUGAAGAGACAAUUUCUAAACUCCUUAUAUGCCAGACGAGAAACUGGAAAUCUUUAGGUGAAGUUCUUAAAUACUUAAAUGGUGAGUGGAACAGGUAGAGAAAGACUCCUUCAGUUUUCUUCUAUGAGUAGUAUAUGUAUGGGAUACGGGCACCUUGCAUAUUAUGUGGUAAUUAAAAG